GUUGGGUAGGGGAGCGUUCUGUAAGCCUGCGAAGGUGGUCGUGAGGGUUGCUGGAGGUAUCAGAAGUGCGAAUGCUGACAUAAGUAACGAUAAAGCGGGUGAAAAGCCCGCUCGCCGGAAGACCAAGGGUUCCUGUCCAACGUUAAUCGGGGCAGGGUGAGUCGACCCCUAAGGCGAGGCCGAAAGGCGUAGUCGAUGGGAAACGGGUUAAUAUUCCCGUACUUGGUGUUACUGCGAAGGGGGGACGGAGAAGGCUAUGUUGGCCGGGCGACGGUUGUCCCGGUUUAAGCGUGUAGGUGUGUGUUCCAGGUAAAUCCGGUUCACUUUAACACUGAGGCGUGA
rnacentral:rRNA from 1 species